rnacentral:tRNA from 1 species
GAAAAAGUAUGCAAGAACUGCUAAUUCAUGCCCCCAUGUCUGAUAACAUGGCUUUUUCA